rnacentral:rRNA from 1 species
AAAACUCUAAGCGGUGGAUCACUCGGCUCAUGGGUCGAUGAAGAACGCAGCAAACUGUGCGUCAUCGUGUGAACUGCAGGACACAUGAACAUCGACAUUUUGAACGCAUAUCGCAGUCCAUGCUGUUAUGUACUUUAAUUAAUUUUAUAGUGCUGCUUGGACUACAUAUGGUUGAGGGUUGUAAGACUAUGCUAAUUAAGUUGCUUAUAAAUUUUUAUAAGCAUAUGGUAUAUUAUUGGAUAAAUAUAAUAAUUUUUAUUCAUAAUAUUAAAAAAUAAAUGAAAAACAUUAUCUCACAUUUGAAUGUGAAAAACGAAGAGAAAUAUUUUCUUUUUCAAUCAAAUAAUACUGAGAAAUGUCUAGCAUAAAAAAUUGAAAUAUUUUUCAUCUAGAAUUGUCUCUUAUUAAUGAUUCGGAAAUAGAAAAAUCUUGGUUAUGUUAUUAUUCUUCGUUGGUUCGUUAAAAAUGGAUAAAUAAAAACUUUGCAUACAAGAAUUAAUAAAAAUGUUAUAACGAAUUUAAUUAAAUGUUUUAUCAUUAUAUAUAAAGAAUUUAUGGCAAGAUAAAGUUAUAUACAACCUCAACUCAUAUGGGACUACCCCCUGAAUUUAAGCAUAUUAAUUAGGGGAGGAAAAGAAACUAACAAGGAUUUUCUUAGUAGCGGCGAGCGAAAAGAAAACAGUUCAGCACUAAGUCACUUUGUCUAUAUGGCAAAUGUGAGAUGCAGUGUAUGGAGCGUCAAUAUUCUAGUAUGAGAAAUUAACGAUUUAAGUCCUUCUUAAAUGAGGCCAUUUACCCAUAGAGGGUGCCAGGCCCGUAUAACGUUAAUGAUUACUAGAUGAUGUUUCCAAAGAGUCGUGUUGCUUGAUAGUGCAGCACUAAGUGGGUGGUAAACUCCAUCUAAAACUAAAUAUAACCAUGAGACCGAUAGUAAACAAGUACCGUGAGGGAAAGUUGAAAAGAACUCUGAAUAGAGAGUUAAACAGUACGUGAAACUGCUUAGAGGUUAAGCCCGAUGAACCUGAAUAUCCGUUAUGGAAAAUUCAUCAUUAAAAUUGUAAUAUUUAAAUAAUAUUAUGAGAAUAGUGUGCAUUUUUUCCAUAUAAGGACAUUGUAAUCUAUUAGCAUAUACCAAAUUUAUCAUAAAAUAUAACUUAUAGUUUAUUCCAAUUAAAUUGCUUGCAUUUUAACACAGAAUAAAUGUUAUUAAUUUGAUAAAGUGCUGAUAGAUUUAUAUGAUUACAGUGCGUUAAUUUUUCGGAAUUAUAUAAUGGCAUAAUUAUCAUUGAUUUUUGUGUUUAUUAUAUGCACUUGUAUGAUUAACAAUGCGAAAGAUUCAGGAUACCUUCGGGACCCGUCUUGAAACACGGACCAAGGAGUCUAACAUAUGUGCAAGUUAUUGGGAUAUAAACCUAAUAGCGUAAUUAACUUGACUAAUAAUGGGAUUAGUUUUUUAGCUAUUUAUAGCUAAUUAACACAAUCCCGGGGCGUUCUAUAUAGUUAUGUAUAAUGUAUAUUUAUAUUAUUUAUGCCUCUAACUGGAACGUACCUUGAGCAUAUAUGCUGUGACCCGAAAGAUGGUGAACUAUACUUGAUCAGGUUGAAGUCAGGGGAAACCCUGAUGGAAGACCGAAACAGUUCUGACGUGCAAAUCGAUUGUCAGAAUUGAGUAUAGGGGCGAAAGACCAAUCGAACCAUCUAGUAGCUGGUUCCUUCCGAAGUUUCCCUCAGGAUAGCUGGUGCAUUUUAAUAUUAUAUAAAAUAAUCUUAUCUGGUAAAGCGAAUGAUUAGAGGCCUUAGGGUCGAAACGAUCUUAACCUAUUCUCAAACUUUAAAUGGGUAAGAACCUUAACUUUCUUGAUAUGAAGUUCAAGGUUAUGAUAUAAUGUGCCCAGUGGGCCACUUUUGGUAAGCAGAACUGGCGCUGUGGGAUGAACCAAACGUAAUGUUACGGUGCCCAAAUUAACAACUCAUGCAGAUACCAUGAAAGGCGUUGGUUGCUUAAAACAGCAGGACGGUGAUCAUGGAAGUCGAAAUCCGCUAAGGAGUGUGUAACAACUCACCUGCCGAAGCAACUAGCCCUUAAAAUGGAUGGCGCUUAAGUUGUAUACCUAUACAUUACCGCUAAAGUAGAUGAUUUAUAUUACUUGUGAUAUAAAUUUUGAAACUUUAGUGAGUAGGAAGGUACAAUGGUAUGCGUAGAAGUGUUUGGCGUAAGCCUGCAUGGAGCUGCCAUUGGUACAGAUCUUGGUGGUAGUAGCAAAUAAUCGAAUGAGACCUUGGAGGACUGAAGUGGAGAAGGGUUUCGUGUGAACAGUGGUUGAUCACGAGUUAGUCGGUCCUAAGUUCAAGGCGAAAGCCGAAAAUUUUCAAGUAAAACAAAAAUGCCUAACUAUAUAAACAAAGCGAAUUAUAAUACACUUGAAUAAUUUUGAACGAAAGGGAAUACGGUUCCAAUUCCGUAACCUGUUGAGUAUCCGUUUGUUAUUAAAUAUGGGCCUCGUGCUCAUCCUGGCAACAGGAACGACCAUAAAGAAGCCGUCGAGAGAUAUCGGAAGAGUUUUCUUUUCUGUUUUAUAGCCGUACUACCAUGGAAGUCUUUCGCAGAGAGAUAUGGUAGAUGGGCUAGAAGAGCAUGACAUAUACUGUUGUGUCGAUAUUUUCUCCUCGGACCUUGAAAAUUUAUGGUGGGGACACGCAAACUUCUCAACAGGCCGUACCAAUAUCCGCAGCUGGUCUCCAAGGUGAAGAGUCUCUAGUCGAUAGAAUAAUGUAGGUAAGGGAAGUCGGCAAAUUAGAUCCGUAACUUCGGGAUAAGGAUUGGCUCUGAAGAUUGAGAUAGUCGGGCUUGAUUGGGAAACAAUAACAUGGUUUAUGUGCUCGUUCUGGGUAAAUAGAGUUUCUAGCAUUUAUGUUAGUUACUUGUUCCCCGGAUAGUUUAGUUACGUAGCCAAUUGUGGAACUUUCUUGCUAAAAUUUUUAAGAAUACUAUUUGGGUUAAACCAAUUAGUUCUUAUUAAUUAUAACGAUUAUCAAUUAACAAUCAAUUCAGAACUGGCACGGACUUGGGGAAUCCGACUGUCUAAUUAAAACAAAGCAUUGUGAUGGCCCUAGCGGGUGUUGACACAAUGUGAUUUCUGCCCAGUGCUCUGAAUGUCAAAGUGAAGAAAAAAAAAAAAAAAAAAAUGACAUAGCCAUAAGCACUUUAGAUCUUGCUACAUCGCAAAUUUAGAUGUAAGCAAGGCAUUUGAUUCUCUAUCACAUGCAUCUAUAUACGACACCUUACGUGCUUAUGGUGCGCCAAAGGGCUUCGUUGACUACGUACAGAACACGUACGAGGGCGGUGGUACCAGUCUCAAUGGGGACGGUUGGAGUUCAGAGGAAUUCGUCCCUGCUAGAGGAGUGAAGCAGGGUGACCCUUUGUCUCCUAUUCUAUUUAACUUGGUAAUGGACAGGUUACUUAGAACCUUACCCAGCGAAAUUGGUGCCAAAGUCGGAAAUGCCAUUACUAACGCGGCCGCGUUUGCAGAUGAUUUGGUACUAUUUGCGGAAACUCGGAUGGGGCUUCAAGUAUUGUUGGACAAGACGUUGGAUUUUCUAUCUAUCGUCGGCCUCAAACUUAAUGCCGACAAAUGUUUUACCGUUGGCAUUAAGGGCCAGCCGAAACAGAAGUGUACCGUGUUAGAGGCACAGAGCUUCUACGUAGGCUCGAGUGAGAUUCCAUCACUGAAGCGCACGGACGAGUGGAAGUACUUAGGCAUCAACUUCACUGCAACCGGGAGGGUUCGAUGCAAUCCGGCCGAGGACAUUGGUCCAAAGCUACAAAGAUUGACAAAGGCCCCCCUCAAACCACAACAGAGGUUGUUCGCCCUUCGGACUGUCCUUAUCCCACAGCUCUACCACAAGUUAGCCCUUGGGAGUGUGGCGAUAGGCGUCCUAAGAAAAACUGAUAAACUUAUAAGAUAUUAUGUGCGAAGAUGGCUAAAUCUUCCGCUGGAUGU